AGACUGUAGUAGGUUUCCUUUGUGUGGUUGUGCUGACCCCUGUGAAUUCCCCACAUGCGGGAAUCUCAACUGCAUAAUUUGUGGUAGUGGGGGACUGCGUUCGUGCUCUCCCCUC
rnacentral:snRNA from 1 species